AUACGAAGGGGGCUAGCGUUGUUCGGAAUCACUGGGCGUAAAGCGCGCGUAGGUGGAUCAACUAGUUGAGGGUGAAAUCCCGGGGCUCAACCUCGGAACUGCCUUCAAUACUGUUGAUCUUGAGACCGAGAGAGGUGAGUGGAAUUCCUAGUGUAGAGGUGAAAUUCGUAGAUAUUAGGAAGAACACCAGUGGCGAAGGCGGCUCACUGGCUCGGUACUGACGCUGAGGUGCGAAAGCGUGGGGAGCAAACAGGAUUAGAAACCCUAGUAGUCC
rnacentral:rRNA from 1 species